rnacentral:rRNA from 1 species
GUGAGGAAUAUUGCGCAAUGGAGGCAACUCUGACGCAGCCAUGCCGCGUGCAGGAAGAAGGCGCUACGCGUUGUAAACUGCUUUUAACCGGGAAGAAACCCCAGGACGUGUCCUGGGUUGACGGUACCGGAGGAAUAAGCACCGGCUAACUUCGUGCCAGCAGCCGCGGUAAUACGAAGGGUGCAAGCGUUAUCCGGAUUCAUUGGGUUUAAAGGGUGCGUAGGCGGAGCGUUAAGUCAGUGGUGAAAUCCUGCAGCUUAACUGUAGACUUGCCAUUGAGACUGGCGCUCUUGAGUGCGCUUGAAGUGGGCGGAAUGUGCCGUGUAGCGGUGAAAUGCUUAGAUAUGGCACAGAACACCAAUUGCGAAGGCAGCUCACUAAGGCGAUACUGACGCUGAGGCACGAAAGCGUGGGGAUCGAACAGGAUUAGAUACCCUAGUAGUCC